rnacentral:lncRNA from 1 species
GCUGAAAUGAAAGGCCCGUUGGCAGGGCUGGUUUAAACAGGGGGACCGAGGCAUCCCCCGGCCUCCUCCGCAAAUAAAUCACAGUUCAAAGGAGCUCGCGUCCCAGCAGCUGGGAUAUUGGAGCCGCGCGGCGGAGGGCGGCGUGUGUUUCCAACCCAUCCGUCACCGCUCCGGAGAAUCGAAAGGCACUGGAAAAGGCCAUCAAAGCAGGUCUUGCUCAGGAAUCACCCGGCGGCGAUGGCCACGACCCGGCGAAGGUCUCCGAGCGAAACCUGGUAGGCGGCAAAGUCCGUCCCGUCCUUGGCACAGCCACGGUCCACGCGCUGGCGGAUGCUCGGGGGCAAGAGGUGCCGGCCCCGCGCCCGCCCAGCCCCUGCCUGCUGGCUUUCUUCUGUGGCCUGCUUGGCGAUUCCAGGGUUUCCAAUACAUGAGGCCAAUGGCCUGCAGAARAAAAAUGAUCUCAGGACUUUGCAUUGAGCUGAAUGAAGCGAGCCUCAUCAGAAGGAGACCUAAUUCUGGAUACCCUCAGGAUGAAUAUUUUAGCCGAGGUUAAGAAAGGGCAGUCUCUGCCUCCAGAGCUCCUGGCAGAAGCAAUCACUCUCGCUUAUUCUCAGGGAGAAAAGCAAAGGUGGAUCACGGCAGUAACCACGGGGCGGCCAGAAAGGGCCGUCACAGGCGCGGAGCCGGGCAGACCCAGGCAGCCCGGGUUGAAAGGACAGCUACGGGGACAACCUUCAACCCGCCGUAUGGCCCAGACCCCUCUGCCGCUGCCUCCUGCAAAGCAUGGGAGAAAGGGGCUGUGGUCUCCUAAGCGUCCUCCCCGGCUCCCCGCUUCGGCUAUUCUSCUUGAGCUAUAGGAUCGCGUCUGUACAGCGCUGUAAACACCUACGGGUGAUGUGCCAGGUAAYGCAGACUAGUGCGUUAAGUUCAGAGGAUCCACUUUAUUUUGCAAGCGCUCGGAGUCAGCAGCACUCAACAUUUCAUUAAGCUGUCGUGGAGUAAUAAAAAGCAAACAAGGCUUUCA